rnacentral:rRNA from 1 species
CCUCGGGAGGCAGCAGUGGGGAAUAUUGGACAAUGGGCGAAAGCCUGAUCCAGCCAUGCCGCGUGUGUGAAGAAGGCCUUCGGGUUGUAAAGCACUUUCAGUGGGGAAGAAAGCCUUGGGGCUAAUACCCUCGAGGAAGGACAUCACCCACAGAAGAAGCACCGGCUAACUCCGUGCCAGCAGCCGCGGUAAUACGGAGGGUGCGAGCGUUAAUCGGAAUUACUGGGCGUAAAGCGCGCGUAGGCGGUCUGAUAAGCCGGUUGUGAAAGCCCCGGGCUCAACCUGGGAACGGCAUCCGGAACUGUCAGGCUAGAGUGCAGGAGAGGAAGGUAGAAUUCCCGGUGUAGCGGUGAAAUGCGUAGAGAUCGGGAGGAAUACCAGUGGCGAAGGCGGCCUUCUGGACUGACACUGACGCUGAGGUGCGAAAGCGUGGGUAGCAAACAGGAUUAGAUACCCCGGUAGUC